rnacentral:lncRNA from 1 species
UAUUGAUCUCCGGAGUAUGAGGAUAACUAGUUGUGGAUUGUGGAUGAAGGUGAGUUGGAGUGGUGGGUGAUGAGAUGAAAUGGUAUAGGGUCCCCCUCAGCCUUAUAUACACGACUAGAGAGUUAUCCCCUUACAAGUUGCGAUUACUAUCUACUUGCUUAUCUCCUUCUUUGUCGCAGAUCGUGUCCCUGCAUAUCUGGGGCCUUCAUCGCAUAAUCGCCCGAGUUAUCGCCGAAUGCCAAGCCCUUCGGGUGUUUGCAACUGCAUCAUCCAACACAUCCGUGCUUCAACGAUGCUUAACUCGGACGUCGGUCUUCACCCGCUUGGGUCGGGCUUACUUGAGUUGGCUAUAUCCUGCUGGUCCAUCCUGCAGGGCGGCUCAGCAGGAAACCCAUCAGGUGGCCCAUGAUCUGUUUUAGCACCCAUGAGAACCCGGAGGAUAUCUAUCCCCCACAAGCCCCCACAUCUUGCUUACCCCGAUGCGCGAUGACUGCAAAUAAAAAGAAGCGAAAAAUCGGACGCUGCUCGACCCCACCGCGAAGGAAGCCAUUGAAGGGAGACAUUAUCUAUCACACCCGGUUUUAGAAGGCAAACCGAAUGCGAACCAUAUACGUGCCAGGAUCAGAAACUCACGUACACAGCGAUUACAUAAUUGGACAUCAUCACACAUUGCUCACAGUAAAUAGCGGAAAGGUACUUUAUUACAUCAAGAUGUCCAAGACAUCCAAAGAGUUUAUAACAUAGUUAUUAACAUAAUCAAAGUACGGAAUACAAAACAUAGCAGAUAAGGCAUUCACAGGUAGCUGACUAGGGGUUUGCCACUAAGAUAACUAUAACUCGUCGUAGUCCUGAAACUCCUCAAAGUCCUCCAUGUUGCCAGCAUCCUCUCCUGAGCACUGAAUACAAUAGGGACAACCUGGGGUGGUGUGGUUUUUAAAGCAAGGAUGAGUACACAUCAACAUACUCAGCGAAUGUCCCGUUUGGCUAAAGUGGACUAGUUGUAUGUGGAGUUAAGGUUAAGUAGUUGCUUUUAGUUGGUCAAGUGGACAACUAGUCUACUAAUACUUAACCUUAACUCCAGAUAUAGCUAGUCCACUUUAGCCAAAUGGGACAUUCGCUGAGUACGUUGAUGUGUACUCCAUCUUGUCCCCACUGUAUUCACUGCUCAGAAGGAGAUGCUGGCAACAUGGAGGACUUUGAGGAGUUCCAGGACUACGACAAGUUCUAGUUAUCUUAGUGGCAAACCCCCAGUCAGCUGCCUGUGAAGGCCUUAUCUGCUACGUUUCGUAUUCUGCACUUUGAUUAUGUUAAUGACUAUGUUAUAGACACUGUGGAUGUCUUGGACAUCUUGAUGUAAUAAAGUACCUUUCCGCUAUUUACUUUGAGCAAUGUGUGAUAAUGUUCAAUUAUGUAAUCGCUGUGUACGUGAGUUUCUGAUCCUAGCACGUACAUGGUUCGCAUUCGGUUUGCCUUCCAAAACCGGGUGUGACACUAUCCCAUCAGGGGCUCGAGGGCUACCAUCGGUGUUCAAAACUCGGGUCCCUAAGGGGUCGCGGAUCAACGAAUGGAGUGCAUCGAGUUUGUCCAUCAUGGUUAAGUCAAGGCCCCACCACGCCCAUGGGAUGACCCCUAGCAUCGAGCCAAGGGGUCAGCCGAGGCAGAGCAGGUGGAAGGGUUAAACGAAUCAGUUGCAACCACUCGAGUGGAUUUUGCAUAUCUGUUAGACUGGUUGCGCUGUUAGCUUUGCUUGUGCCUCAUUAACUACACUAGUUGGUGGGGUGCGACUCGAACAUUAUCACUCUUCCCCCACACAUGAUCUACGGAUCUUAGGCCUGAGUUCCUAGAAGUCCUAUGACCCUAAGCAGGAAUGAGAGACCUAGCUAGGCUGCGAAGGUAGAGGGUCGAUGUAGGGGGAGAUGCAGACGAAACCAAGUAAUGAUGAUGCUCGGACUCUCAUCGCCAACAUGGAUCACAUCCUCCCUCGACAAUCUCAGAGAUACAACAGAAGACCCACACUGAGAAAGACACCAACACACGACAAGAUUUUACUGAUGGUGAAUGGUGAAUCCCUUCUUUUAUCUCACGAUACGCUCCCUUCCGGGGGAAGUCAUAUAUAAACACCCCCUCCUUGGUCUAUAAAAGGAGGGGUCGAACUCAUGAGAGAUGGAAUCCAAAAAAAGACUAAGACCUAGAUAGUGAAACAACAUAUAGAGACUUGGGAUUUCUUUCUCUUUCGCCCGCUUAUAACCCAUACUACGAGUAAUUAGGUGUCGGUAGCACGAGCCAUCGAAGACUGGAGUAUGGACAUUCAGGCCGAACCAGUAUAACUCUUGUGUCCAUUGAGCACACAUCCAGAUCUAAAACGCCUAUAAAAAAAUUUUCUCACCGGUGCUAGUUCAAUACAUCGACAAAGUUAUUAGCUGCAUUUAGCUAUGUUGGAGCUAGCAGCUAACAACUAAUAACUAUUUGAAAGGUAUAUUUGGUCUAUUAGCUGACUCGUUCUAAACCUUUUAGCUAAUUUUAGUUGCUAAGCAUUAAUUUUAGAAGGAUAUGUUAUUAGGAUGGUUUAGAGCAACUUCAAAAGGAUGUUAAAAGUUUUCCUUGAAACUGAUUAUUGAGAGUAUGCUAAAAAGUUUUAGCAGUGGAUUAUAAUGUAUGUUUCAACAGUUUUCGUCAACAAAGAGUGAAAAUGGAAAACUAAGAAAAAAAGAGAGCCAUAUUAGAUAGCAACACAAGGAGCAAAGGCAAUGAACUAGCUAGCUAGACGACGCACACCGUGCAAGACAGCGACAUGUCUCCAGCCCGCCACCUGAUCCGCCUCGCCGUCAUGGUACUCGUCGCUGUUGCUCUCGGUCGCCGUGUCGGCCGCCAGAGGCCAGGAGGAAACGGGGCACGAGGAGCAGUUUCACUACAUUUCCGACGACGAGCAUAGGCCGUAGCAUUGGGGCAACAUCAAGGCGGAGGGGUCGUACAGCUUGUAAAGUACCUCGCAGGGGGUCUAGAUUGGAGAAGAAUCUCUCACACGAAAAAUAAAUAUGCGGGAGGGAAGGAGUUGGACGAGGGACGAGAAGAUUUUCGGGAGGGGAAGAGAGAGCCGUUGAAGAGAGGAAAAAGCGAUUUCUCCCCUAAAACUAGUUUCCAGUUUACAACUCCUUUUUGCAGUUGCUCUUUAGUGGUUAAAAGCUGAGUUGUGAACUGCCCAAUGCAAAUCGGCCUAGUAGAGUGCUGUGAUAGAAUUAAGUCAAUGCAUGCAAGAAUUACCUAAAUUGUAACGGGGAUGAUAGAGAAGACGGCCAGGAGGCAGCAGUACAUAGCAUGGCGGGCAACCAGGAAACGCCACGGCUCGCCACUUGCGCGAUACGGACGACCGGUGCCUUCUUUCUCAGCGCCGGCGGUGAUCUCGUGGUAGUGGGUCGCGGCUGAGCGUGGAGAGGAAGCUCGAGGUUGGAGUGCAGGCAGCACGGCGUGGUAUAUACGGAGAGGGAGAGGCC